rnacentral:rRNA from 1 species
UACGUAGGGUGCAAGCGUUGUCCGGAAUUAUUGGGCGUAAAGAGCUCGUAGGCGGUUUGUCACGUCGGCUGUGAAAACCCGAGGCUCAACCUCGGGCCUGCAGUCGAUACGGGCAGACUAGAGUAUGGCAGGGGAGACUGGAAUUCCUGGUGUAGCGGUGAAAUGCGCAGAUAUCAGGAGGAACACCGGUGGCGAAGGCGGUUGCCUGGAGCUUUGCUGACGCUGAGGCGCGAAAGCGUGGGGGAGCGAUCCGG